rnacentral:rRNA from 1 species
CCUACGGGAGGCAGCAGUGGGGAAUAUUGGGCAAUGGGCGCAAGCCUGACCCAGCAACGUCGCGUGAAGGAAGAAGGCUCUCGGGUUGUAAACUUCCUUUGUCAGGGAAGAGUAGAAGACGGUACCUGACGAAUAAGCCACGGCUAACUACGUGCCAGCAGCCGCGGUAAUACGUAGGUGGCAAGCGUUGUCCGGAUUUACUGGGUGUAAAGGGCGUGUAGCCGGGUUGACAAGUCAGUUGUGAAAACCUGCGGCUUAACCGCAGAACUGCAUUUGAAACUGGUGAUCUUGAGUACUGGAGAGGCAGGUGGAAUGCGUGGUGUAGCGGUGAAAUGCAUAGAUAUUACGAGGAACACCAGUGGCGAAGGCGGUCUGCUGGAGAGCAACUGACGGUGAGGCGCGAAAGCGUGGGGAGCGAACAGGAUUAGAUACCCGGGUAGUC